GUUUCUCUCUUUUAGAUAAACUAGGAAUAGUUGUUUUUUAAAAGGUGGGAUUUUUCUUGAACCUGCUUCAGCCAUCUUUAUAUACGUAGCACAGCUCACCCAUCAUUUUUCAAACCUUGCAUUGGUUAGCAAUGCAACUCCUUCACCAAAAUCUUUGGCACUUGAUGCGCAACCGAUCUAUUGUUGGCCACAACACCAUUGUACCACCCCAACACUAACCUUUUGAAACCCAACCUAACACGGGAGAAGAGAUGCACUAUCAUAUUAUUAGAGAGUGAACCAU
rnacentral:lncRNA from 1 species